ACUUGGUCCAAAACAUCCAAGACGGGUAAGAGGUCUUGGUUUUGGUGUGACUCCUUCAAAAUUGAAUGCUUUGGUGCACAAUCAUAACUUGCAAACUCAAGUUCAAGAGUCGAGGGAUGAAAUUAAAGAAUUAAAAGCUCUGUUUCAUGUGAAGAGUAAAAGUGCUGAACAAGAAGAUAAUUUAAGUGGAAAUCUAGAAUCAAUGAAUGUUAUUUUAAAUUACAUAUACUUUCUAUAUUCAAAAUAAUAAAUUGUACAAUUAAAUAUUAAUUUUACAGUCUAGAGACAAAAGCUUGAAUGAUUUAGAUAACCUUCAAAAUAAGAAGUGCAAAUUAUUAUCUUGGUUUGGGAAAGCUGAUAUUGUUGCGAAAGGUGAAAUCGUAUCAACAAAUCCAAAUGAUUUAGUUCAUCAUGUACGCCUUGGUAAUGAAUGUUGAAGAGUUUGGGUUAAUGAAGUGAUCGAUAAUGUCAGCUUAUAUCAUCCCACCCGUAAGCUUUUUCUUCUUGAAGAUGCAUGAGGAAAUACAAUUGCAUGGCCAAGUAGGUAUAUCAAAGUGGAUUCGCUGUAAUCACAACAAAUGUAUGCUUAACUUCUUUUCUAUUUUAAUUCCAUUUACCUUUAUGUUCGGUCUCAAUUGAAGAUUGGGUUGUUUAAUAUAUUUCUUGAUAUACUUUUGAUUUGGAUGAUUAUUAAUUAUAUCCUUAUUAUUUCAUGGUGUGCAAGA
rnacentral:lncRNA from 1 species